UACGUAGGGUGCAAGCGUGUCCGGAAUUAUUGGGCGAAAGAGCUCGUAGGCGGUCUGUCACGUCGGGCGUGAAAAUCCAGGGCUCAACCCUGGACCUGCGUUCGAUACGGGCAGACUAGAGUUCGGUAGGGGAGACUGGAAUUCCUGGUGUAGCGGUGAAAUGCGCAGAUAUCAGGAGGAACACCGGUGGCGAAGGCGGCUC
rnacentral:rRNA from 1 species